AUCGGCUGUGUUUGUGUGGGGCGCGCGUGUGUCAGGUUUUUUGUGCAUUGGAACUCUUAUUUGUGGUUAUUCGUGAAACAAAAAUACUGAAGAUCUGAAUUAAGUCUGUUCCCAGCAGCUCAGCAAGGAUGUUCAGCUUUGCAGGGACCAGAUCCCAGCACCCACGUAUUACCUCCACACUUGCAUAACUGCGUCACCUGAGGAGCGUCGGAUGACCGUGUCACUUGAACCUGUAAUGAGAUGGUGUCACACGAACUCCAUUGAAUAAUUGACGAGCAACGGAUGCUCUGUUUCCAGCGAACCAGCACCUGAGAGAUAGUUGGUGUACGAGUGUACAAGUAGCAGAGAGUUGACGACCUCCGUGCUGCCUAAACAGCGGGAACAAACUUAUCGUUCAAAUUAGCAACAGAAACACACAUCAGAGACCCUACAGCUAGGCGGUGUUUGGCUUUCUGUCGCUGUCUUCCUUCAUCGUUCUCAAGCUGGUGUGAUGAGCGGCAGACUGCGACACGCGACUCCCCACACAACUGGAACCAUUCAUCAACCACCCGUAAAGGACGAGGAGCACCUGAGUGGCGUGCUCGGUUCAGCUACUCGUACCCAGGGAAGCUAACCAUGACGCCAGUCGAUAAUGUAAAGAAAUAUGAAAUUAUUUCAUUAUAACCAAUUUUAUUACUUGGCAAUAUCUGUGCCCUCAUCACUGUCGUACCUUUUACUGAUGUAGUCAUGCUUUGUUAAUAUUAACAGCACAUUUAAAAAUGUAUAGACACACACUAGAGGUAGUAUGACGUCAAUUUUGUCUUUUGUAAGGAGGAAACUAUUCAAAAGACUGUAGUACAAAAUGUGUCAAAACUUUGUAAGUGAUGACGUAAAGUACGCUUAGCAGUGAAAGGGUCAAUCAACAUCAUGACGACGACCACCACCAUCACCACUACCCACCACAAGAACUUCGCUAUUAUCAUUAUCAUCACUGAGUAAUCUGUCUUCCAUUCAUGUAAUUUAUUGCAUAUUUUCUUCUUAAUUUUGCUGAUAAUAGUGAAAUUAAUACUGUCCACUCCAUCGGCUCCUCACUAGGUACAACUCUAUCCCUGUAUAACUUUGCGGUAAAGGAUGAGAGGCUGCGGCCGGCAAGGAUUCCAACCACUUUCCAGCAACGGUCACGCUGUCUUGUUAAUGGACCGAGUGCCUGCCAAGGACGCAGUAGAACUAGACAGGAGCGUGCACGUGUGUAGAAUGUAGGAGCGCUGCGGCUUGAAUGGCGCGGGAACAGACACGUGGCCCACUCACCGGUUUUCCAUCCGCCUUUGUCGUGCUCUGUAUUUACGAGUACUUGUGUAUGUUGAUGUGUCUCUAGUUUGAUUUGUCUGUUCAUCUUUACUUAUUUAUUUAUUCAUUUGUUUUCUUUUAUUUAUUUAUUUGUUUAUUUAUCUAUUUGUCUUUUAGUUGCUGGUAUGGUUGGGUUGGUGAACUCCAGACUCGCAUUCUAAAACUUGACUUGUGAAUGAGUUUUCUUUCUUUCCUCCUCCUCCUCCUUCUCCUCCUCCUCCUCCUCUUCCUCCUCCUCUUCCUCCUCCUCCUCCUCCUCCUCCUCCUC